AUUGAACGCUGGCGGCAGGCCUAACACAUGCAAGUCGAACGAGUGGCGGACGGGUGAGUAAUGUCUGGGAAACUGCCCGAUGGAGGGGGAUAACUCCUGGAAAAGGUAGCUAAUACCGCAUACGAUCGCAUGUGCCCAGAUGGGAUUAGCGUGUUGGUGGGGGAACGGCUCACCUAGGAGACGAUCCCUAGCUGGUCUGAGAGGAUGACCAGCCACACUGGAACUGAGACACGGUCCAGACUCCGACGGGAGGCAGAAGUGGGGAAUAUUGCACAAUGGGCGCAAGCCUGAUGCAGCCAUGCCGCGUGUAUGAAGAAGGCCUUCGGGUUGUAAAGUACUUUCAGCGGGGAGGCGUUACCCGCAGAAGAAGCACCGGCUAACUCCGUGCCAGCAGCCGCGGUAAUUC
rnacentral:rRNA from 1 species